rnacentral:rRNA from 1 species
UCCUACGGGAGGCAGCAGUGGGGAAUAUUGCACAAUGGGCGCAAGCCUGAUGCAGCCAUGCCGCGUGUAUGAAGAAGGCCUUCGGGUUGUAAAGUACUUUCAGUCGUGAGGAAGGCAUUAGCGUUAAUAGCGUUAGUGUUUGACGUUAGCGACAGAAGAAGCACCGGCUAACUCCGUGCCAGCAGCCGCGGUAAUACGGAGGGUGCGAGCGUUAAUCGGAAUUACUGGGCGUAAAGCGCAUGCAGGUGGUUUGUUAAGUCAGAUGUGAAAGCCCGGGGCUCAACCUCGGAACCGCAUUUGAAACUGGCAGGCUAGAGUACUGUAGAGGGGGGUAGAAUUUCAGGUGUAGCGGUGAAAUGCGUAGAGAUCUGAAGGAAUACCGGUGGCGAAGGCGGCCCCCUGGACAGAUACUGACACUCAGAUGCGAAAGCGUGGGGAGCAAACAGGAUUAGAUACCCUGGUAGUCCACGCCGUAAACGAUGUCUACUUGGAGGUUGUGGCCUUGAGCCGUGGCUUUCGGAGCUAACGCGUUAAGUAGACCGCCUGGGGAGUACGGUCGCAAGAUUAAAACUCAAAUGAAUUGACGG